ACCCCAUUCAGUGGCAGAGCAGUUAAAACGGGGAGAGACUGUACAGGCUGAGGCCUUUGACAGUGUUACCAUCUACUUCAGUGACAUUGUUGGCUUCACAGCAUUGUCAGCAGAGAGCACCCCCAUGCAGGUAGUGACACUUCUUAAUGACCUGUAUACCUGCUUUGAUGCCAUAAUUGACAACUUUGAUGUCUACAAGGGCCAGUCUGUGCUGGGGUUGUUGGCCUGAAGAUGCCCCGUUAUUGUCUUUUUGGAGACACAGUGAACACUGCUUCUCGAAUGGAGUCUAAUGGUCAAGCGCUGAAGAUCCAUGUCUCCUCUACCACCAAGGAUGCCCUAGAUGAGCUAGGAUGCUUCCAGCUAGAGCUUCGGGGGGAUGUGGAAAUGAAGGGAAAAGGAAAGAUGCGAACAUACUGGCUCUUAGGAGAGCGGAAAGGACCUCCUGGACUCCUGUAAACCCCCAUUCUUUCCAAGUCAGAUAGUCUUCUGCUGCUGGUACCUGGGUGGGCAAUGGCCACCAUGUCUGCACACACCAGAAAUGGACAUUUUCAUAUGCAAUGGAAAACAGCCACAAAAAAACCUACCUUAUAUGGAAGUUGUAGCCCUCUGCAGCUCAGCCCUGUACAUAUACCUGUCCCUCUCUGGCUUGGUCCCCUUCCUCCCUACUUUCUGUAAAUAUCUGUAUCUAAACCAGAAUAUUUUGGUCAAAUAUAAAACAAUAAUAAAAAAA
rnacentral:lncRNA from 1 species